rnacentral:tRNA from 1 species
GCGGGUGUAGCUCCAAUUGGAAAGAGCAAUUGAUUUCCACUCAAUAGGUUGUGGGUUCAAAUCCCACUACCCGC